GCCUGGGUGGCUCAGUCGGCUAAGCGUCCGACUUCAGCUCAGGUCACAAUCUUGUAGUUCGUGGGUUCGAGCCCCAUGUCAGGCU
rnacentral:tRNA from 1 species